rnacentral:lncRNA from 1 species
GGGUGCCUUAUCCAAUAAAGCGCCCCGACCCUCAAGCUCGGGGAGCUCUACCGAGCACAUCUCGAAAUCAGGGACACCAGGCUAGCCUCAAUACCCGUCAAGCCGACCUCGUCGAGUAUAUGAUGUGACCUUUCAACGAGCUCGGCCUCGCCCACAGCCGCAUCUACAAGCGUGCCCACACCCACCUACGUGGCCGUACAUCGCAACACCUCCGCGUCAUGCCUUACCUGCUAGCCGACGACAGUCAAGGACAACGCCAUGCUACUCUGGCCGUCCCCUGCUAUGACUGUCAAUACCUUACCAUUCACAAGAAUAGACCGCGCUGGGCGCCACAAGCAAACCCUAGCUACGUGGUGUCUGGCUUAAAGUCAUUUCCUCUCAUGAUGAGAAGGGGCCAUAUCUCCGCCACUUGGACAUCUCUACAGGGACUAUAAAUAGCUGCAUAAGAUCACGUAAGGGGGAACUUUUGGAGAAUCCAUCCUAAAUCCACUCUAACUUGAUCGUCGGAGAGCCCUCAUCGACAUUAGGGCGGCUUUGUGCAGGUACACCGUCGCGCGG